CGCGGGAGAUAAUGGGGAUGAUCAUAAAACGGAGGGAGAGCCCGUGCGAGGGAAGCUGAAUGGAUGGAGCCACGCACACGUCACCAGCAGCCGCAGCCAUGAAGAGCGUGCGCUCCAGCCUCCAGCUGCUCAGUCGCUCUCCAUCUCCAGAGCCGCGCGCUGCUCGGCGCUGAGGAGCGGACACACGCGCACCGGAGACUGCGUCAGAGCCCAUGUUGCUGCGCCUGCAGCUCGAGAGGAUGGGUAGCCUUAGGGGUUGGCUGUUAUCUUUGGUUAUCUAGCUGUAUGAGUGAUGUACAUUCUUCAUAAAGCUAGAUAACCGAAAGUAACAAGAAUCCCAUUACACUCCUGAAAAAGGCAUCAAGACCCCAUAUGUACCUCCCUCAAAAAAAAUACACAAACUGCCACAGGAACAGCAACACGUGAAGAAAAUGGACGACAGUUACGAGGACACGGCAGCGGCAGAUUGCAGCAGGAGGCGACGACCAGCGGACCCCUGGAGGAGAGCUGGCAAAAGGAGACUGAAAAACAGAGAAGAAGAAGGAGGAGGAGGGGUUGCUGUUGAUUCUGCCCUCCCUCUCUCCUCGCCCUCCUCUGCAAUCGCCUCCUCCCUCCACCUCCCCCCUUCUUCCUCCUCUGCUCCAUCCUCAGCAGACUGCCCUUUUUUCCUGUACAGCAAGACGCAGCCCGCGCCACCAUCUUAGAGCAACGCUGGCAUGAAAUGGAAGUGGGAAGACCGGCCAGUGCAGGUGAGUGCUGUCGGUGCAGGACGACCGCGGCCAGACAGCGGAGGGGCAGCGGGGGGGGGGGGGGGGGGGGGGCAGCGGGAUCCCUCCUCCAGCCGCCGUCUUCAGCCCGGAGUGAACACGUGUCCGUGCACGACUCGACGCACACUCCUCUCCGUGGCUCUGGAACACUUCGGCAGCGACACGUUGACGUGUGUGAUUCGUGAUUUGACCCGAGAGUCGAGCUGGACUGAGAGUGAGGGAGCGAGGUGCAGACAGAGCGAGGGACGUCCUGGUCCACAGCUGUGACUCUUCUGCUUUGGAGGGUGUGGCCCUGAAUUUUGUGAUUUUCUUUCAUCCACUUACUUACACGUGAAACUAUGUAAAGCUCCACUUACUGCAGGUCACAGUGUGAUUUGUGUUAGUUGCUAGGACUCAGAGACACGUGAAUGUGAGACCCACGGCAGCCGUGAAUAAUACUGCACUGCGAUUGGACAGCUCCGUGUGUCGGCCGACACGAUGGUGAAGGCGUGAGCUGUCGUCUUUAAACUCUAUGCAACUGUUUUAUCCUUUUUGUUCUCAUUCAUCCUGAACUCCUCUCUCAUCCUCCCUGUGUAGUUGUCUUGUUUCUGGGGCUGUAGUGUGUAGACGUCCCUUCAGGCGUCAGCAGCAGAGAUGGAUUCUGAGGAGUUAAUAACUGAGGAGACAGUGAGAGCCUGAGCGUCAGUGUGUGACAGAUGACAGAACGCAGCUCACUUUCAUCACUGCAUGUAUUGAAUCUCAUAUUUGCAGCCUUAACAGACUCGGCAGCUUUAAGCCACAGUCUGAGUGAACGUGGACUCACACAUUUAAUAUUCCUGAUGGCAGGAGUGUGUUUGAUCAGCAGGGAGCAGCUGAGCCGAGCUCGGUGUGUACAGAACCCGCCGCACUAUUAAAACCUCCCAGCAUGCUUUGAGUCGCAGCCGCUCGGCUCCUCCCUGCGUCUCUGUGAUGGCCUUUGGGUGAGACACGACAAAUACAUCGGCUUCACACACUGCCUUAAUUUCCUGUCCUUAACAUUAACACACACACACACACAUACACACACACACACACACACACACACCCCAAUGCAAUAAAGCAAGUGCUAUCGCAGCCUAAUUCAUUCUAUAUUAAUUUUCAGGAAGUGGCAAAUUUUUUAUUACGAUUGAUAAUCUAUGCAAAUCUCUUAAAUAUUACUUUAAACAAUCUAUGUCUAUGCAGUGCUCUUGAUUCAAGGGAGACUAUCUUAGUCUAAUUUAGAAAAUGUAUUCUUCUGAUAAUCAUCCCAGUGCUCGAGACAAUUACUUAUCUGCCUGGAUAAGCUUGAAAUUAUGUUUGUAAUCUCUAGAAAAAAUAAAAGAGUCACUUGUCUGAUACCAGUCGAGUGGCGUGAACAUCAUGAAUUGUCGUCUACAAUAAUUAAAUCGGUUGCACUAAACCUGCAGAUCCGACUGUUUGUGUUCAGCCGUGCUCUGUUGUUUCCAGUGAGCAGCCAUGUUGUUUCCAGUGAGCAGCCAUGUUGUUUCCAGUGAGCAGCCAUGUUUGUGUCACGUAGUCGAAUCGCUGCGGACAAGAAUUCACCUCAUGUGCCUUUCUAUGGAAAACUGUGUUGGAAUAGUAAUAAAGGUUUACAUUGAAAA